rnacentral:rRNA from 1 species
UACAGAGGUGGCAAGCGUUGUUCGGAAUUACUGGGCGUAAAGAGCUCGUAGGUGGUUUGUUGCGUCUGCCGUGAAAACCCGAGGCUUAACCUCGUGGCUUGCGGUGGAUACGGGCAGACUUGAGGUAGGUAGGGGAGAAUGGAAUUCCCGGUGUAGCGGUGAAAUGCGCAGAUAUCGGGAGGAACACCGGUGGCGAAGGCGGUUCUCUGGGCCUUACCUGACGCUGAGGAGCGAAAGCGUUGGGAGCGAACAGG